GAUGAACGCUAGCGGCAGGCCUAAUACAUGCAAGUCGAACGGUGUAGCAAUACACAGUGGCGCACGGGUGCGUAACACGUAUGCAACCUACCUUACAUUGGGGGAUAGCCUUUCGAAAGGGAGAUUAAUACCGCAUAAGACAGUAACUAGGCAUCUAGUAGCUGUUAAAGAUUUAUCGAUGUAAGCUGGGCAUGCGUCCAAUUAGUUAGUUGGCGAGGUAAUGGCUCACCAAGACGAGGAUUGGUAGGGGAACUGAGAGGUCAAUCCCCCACACUGGCACUGAGAUACGGGCCAGACUCCUACGGGAGGCAGCGGUAGGGAAUAUUGGGCAAUGGGCGCAAGCCUGACCCAGCCAUGCCGCGUGCAGGAAGAAGGCGUUAUGCGUUGUAAACUGCUUUUAUACAGGAAGAAACGACCCUUGCGAGGGGCAUUGACGGUACUGUAUGAAUAAGCACCGGCUAACUCCGUGCCAGCAGCCGCGGUAAAAC
rnacentral:rRNA from 1 species